rnacentral:rRNA from 1 species
UUCGCAAUGCCCGAAAGGGUGACGAUGCGACGCCGCGUGAGCGAAGAAGGCCCUAGGGUUGUAUAGCUCUGUCGAGGGUUAUGAAAUAUAGAUGGGUUAAUACCCCAUUUAUUUGACAAAAGCCCAAAAGGAAGCCACGGCUAACUCUGUGCCAGCAGCCGCGGUAAUACAGAGGUGGCGAGCGUUGUUCGGUAUUAUUGGGCGUAAAGAGCACGUAGGUGGUUUUGUAAGUCAGGUGUGAAAGCCUUCUGUUCAAAGGAAGAACGGCAUCUGAAACUGCAGAUCUUGAGUGUAGGAGGGGAGAGUGGAACCUCUGGUGGAGCGGUGAAAUGCGUAGAUAUCAGAAGGAACGUCGGCGGCGAAAGCGACUCUCUGGCCUAUUACUGACACUGAGGUGCGAAAGUUAGGGGAGCAAACGGGAUUAGAUACCCCGGUAGUCCUAACCGUAAACGAUGGGCACUAAGUAGAGGGGUUUU